rnacentral:rRNA from 1 species
AUUGAACGCUGGCGGCAGGCCUAACACAUGCAAGUCGAGCGGAUGAAGUGUGCUUGCUCCUGGAUUCAGCGGCGGACGGGUUAGUAAUGCCUAGGAAUCUGCCUGGUAGUGGGGGAUAACGUCCGGAAACGGGCGCUAAUACCGCAUACUUCCUGAGGGAGAUAGUGGGUGAUCUUCGGACCUCACGCUAUCAGAUGAGCCUAGGUCGGAUUAGCUAGUUGGUGGGGUAAAGGCCUACCAAGGCGACUAUCCGUAACUGGCCUGAGAGGAUGAUCAGUAACACUGGAACUGAGAAACGGUCCAGACUCCUACGGGAGGCAGCAGUGGGGAAUAUUGGACAAAGGGCGAAAGCCUGAUCCAGCCAUGCCGCGUGUGUGAAGAAGGUCUUCGGAUUGUAAAGCACGUUAAGUUGGGAGGAAGGGCAGUAAGUUAAUAACUUGAUGUUUUGACGUUACCAACAAAAUAAGCACCGGCUAACUUCGUG